AAAUACAAACUAGUGCUCUUGCAUAGAAGUAGUGAUAGUUUGUUAUGGCAGUCUUAGGAAACUAAAACAAAACCCAGAUAAUGCCAGAAGAAAAGGAGAAGGAAAAUUAGCAUGAUUAAUAAGAACCCAUGUGUUGCCAAAACUACCUAACCAGUUUUUCAAAUAUUAACAUUUGAAUAACAUUAAUAACAUUUAAUAACAUUUCCAGACUAAUGCUUGGGAGAGAAAGAAAAAGAGAAAGCUACUUUGAAGAAGUGGCCUCAACAUUUAAUUAAGCAUUAUACUGGAUAAUAUUUUAAGAAGAAUAUUGAAAACUUCACUAAGAGAGCCAAAAAUCUGGUCACAUUUUCUGCAAUGGGAAGGAAAUUUUCUAAGGAGCCAACGCAGUGAUCCUGCUGAAUGAGCAUUCAUUUGAUCCCAUCCUCCUAGUUAUGACUGGCAAGACUG
rnacentral:lncRNA from 9 species